rnacentral:misc_RNA from 1 species
AUAAAAACAAUUCCAAUAAUGCAUGAGUUGUAUAAUCCAAAAAUAUAUCUAUUCUAAUUUAUUGUAAAUCUUUUAAAACAUGAUUAGACAGAAUAACCUACAAAAAUUAAACAAAUAAAAAAAACCAGUUUUCAAUAUGUUUGCCAGGUACCACAAGACCUUUAAAAAAAGCCCAACCAGAGCAUUAAGAUGUUUUGCAAAUACCACUAUAUCUUUGAACACAGAAAAGUUCCCAAACGAGGCCCAAGUGGUAGUUUGUGGGGGUGGGGUAAUGGGGGCUUCUGUAGCAUAUCACUUAGCAAAGCUUGGUUGGGGAAAAGAUACUGUUGUCAUAGAACAAAGUAGAAUUGGGGGUGGUACGACUUGGCAUUCUUCAGGUCUAAUAGGUGUCUUCAAACCCAGUUUAGCACAAGUACAAUUGACCAAAUCUAGUGUAGCUUUGUAUAAGGAGUUAGAACAACAAGGAUUAUCCACAGGGUGGAAACAAUGUGGCAGUUUAAACCUAGCUAGAUCCAGAGAUAGAAUGACAGUAUUCAGAAGAAUGAAAGCACAAUCUGUAUCUUGGGACAUAGACUGUGAAUUAUUAACACCAGAACAAUGCAAAGACAAAUGGCCGCUGUUAAACACUGAAGAUAUCCUUGGAGGACUCUGGAUUCCUGGGGACGGAGUUGGUGACCCAUAUGAAACGUGUUUAUCUAUGAUGGCACAAGCCAAAAAUAUGGGUGUAAAAGUAUUUGAAAACUGUGCUAUUAAGAAGAUUCAUCACACUAACCAGAAAGUAUCAAGUGUUGAAACAGAUCUCGGCCAUAUCAAAUGUGAUUACUUUGUCAACUGUGCUGGUUUCUGGGCAAGGGGAAUAGGGAGAUUGUCUGAACCUGUUGUUAAAGUGCCUCUUCAUGCUGUAGAACAUUAUUUUCUUCACACUAAGCCUAUUCCUGCAUUGGAUCCCAUGUUACCAGUGCUAAGAGAUCUGGACGGACAUGUUUAUUUGAGAGAAAAUAGAGGUAGACUUCUGGCCGGUGGAUUUGAACCUGUUGCCAAACCUGCUUAUGAAGAUGGAAGAAUACCUGCCAGCAGCAAAGAGCGUCAACUUCCAGAAGAUUGGGAUCAUUUCCACGUACUGUUAGAACAACUUCUCAAACGAGUACCAUAUUUAGGUACUGUCGUUCUUGAUAGGCUUUGUAACGGUCCUGAAGCCUUCAGUCCCGAUUGUAAAUGGAUAGUAGGAGAAGCACCAGAGAUACGGAAUUAUUUGAUUGCAGCGGGUAUGAAAACCGUGGGAAUAGCUGCAGCUGGAGGAGUUGGUAAGGCCACGGCAGAAAUUAUAGUUAAUGGCGACACGGAAUUCGAUAUGUACGAAAUAGAAGUUUCACGAUUUCUUGGUUUGCACAAUAAUAGAAAGUUUUUAAGAGAUCGGGUCAAGGAAGUUCCUGGUCUGCAUUAUGGAUUAAUAUAUCCUUUUCAUGAAUUUGAAACAGGUAGAAAUUUGAGAAUGUCUCCUGUUUAUCCGAAGUUUCGGGAGAUAGGCGCCGUUUUCGGUCAAGUUAUGGGUUACGAGAGACCAACUUGGUUUAAUGCGGAACAAGCAAGAGUGGAUGAUGGUCAAGACAGCCCCUUUAGAGUAGCUCAUACGAAAACAUUUGCGAAACCUCCUUGGUUUGAAUUUGUAUCCAAAGAGUAUGAAGCGUGUAGGGAACGAAUAGGGAUAAGCGACUAUUCUUCAUUUACAAAAGUGGAUUUGUGGUCGAAAGGUGAUGAGGUGGUGGAUGCUCUUCAAUUUGUAUGCUCAAAUGAUGUGGACGUACCAAUAGGAAGUAUUAUUCAUACUGGAAUGCAGAAUAGACAUGGCGGAUACGAAAAUGAUUGUUCGUUGGCACGCAUUUCUGAAAACCAUUACAUGAUGAUAGCUCCCACGAUCCAACAAACAAGAUGUAAAGUGUGGCUCCAGAAGCAUCUUCCUCCAACCGUCACAAUAUCAGACGUUACGAGUAUGUUCACGGCUUUGUGCAUCAUGGGACCUUUCACGAGACAACUUCUUUCGGAAUUAACCGAUACUGAUUUGAAUCCUCGCAACUUUCCAUUCUUUACUUUUAAGAUGUUGGACGUUGGUCUGGCCAACGGAAUCAGGACAAUGAAUCUUACUCAUACAGGGGAGUUAGGAUAUGUUCUGUAUAUACCAAAUGAGUUUGCGUUGCACGUUUACACAAGUCUGAUGGAAGCUGGUGAAAAGUACGGGAUCACUCCAGCAGGCUACUACGCCACCAGGGCUCUUAGAGUAGAGAAAUUUUACGCAUUUUGGGGUCAGGAUCUAGACACUACGACAACACCAUUGGAAUGCGGUCGAGUGUGGAGGGUCAAAUUCGAUAAAAAAGUAGACUUUAUCGGAAGAGACGCCCUUCUCAGACAACGAGAAGAAGGAGUUAAAAGAAUGUAUUUGCAACUACUUCUAGAAGACCAUGAUUCGGAAACGGAUCUCUGGCCUUGGGGUGGAGAGCCUAUCUAUAGAAAUGGAAAAUACGUCGGUAUGACAACAACCACCGGAUAUGGAUACACAUUUAAAAAACAGGUAUGUCUUGGGUUUGUACACAACUUUGAUGAGAAGGGAGAAAAGCAAAAGGUUACCAACGACUACGUUACCAGUGGCCAUUUCGAAGUUGAUGUUGCUGGAAUCAGGUACCAGGCAAAGGCGAACCUGCACUCACCGAUUCUUCCUACUAAACAUCCCGAUAAAGAACGUGACGCUUAUCAAGCCACCAGAGACAAAGGGGAUGAUCCCAAUGCUUCAAAAAUUAUAAAGGCUGUGUGAAAACCUAGAGAUUGAGUUUGAUUGAUUGAUUGAGUGAAAACAAUUCCUUACUUAUGAGCUGAAACAAAAAAAUGUUUAUUUCAGUCCAGCCGUCAGAGAUUUACACAAUCCCCAAAAAUUUGCAAAAUUUUUGCAUUCCUACCCCCGGGCUACCCCUAACCUCUCCCUGUGGAGGGGAACAGAAGCAUCGAUUUCUCAAGAAUCUGUACGCCGUUGAAAAAAUGUUUUAAACAAGUAGCCCAGUAACUGAACGGGAAAUUCGGCGAUACCGUGUAAUUUUCAGGGGCAACUCCGAAUUGCAUGAAAAUUUGCAUUUAGGUUCUACUUACCCUCCACUUCAAAGUUGAAAUUGUGCCGUUGGUUGAUUUUACUUGGCACCCCUUCUUGGGGGUGAAAAACAUACGUUAAAGAUAAGACCGGAAAUUGAUAAAUUGACUGUUUUUAAGCAACUUUUGUUCUAUAAAGUUUUUCACCUAACUCAAUACUUAUCGAGUUAUUUGUCAUUGAAAAUGUUGAUUUUUCGACAAAAGAACUGCGUUUUCAGACGGUUUUUCGCAAAUAACUCAAAAAGUAAAUAUUUUAUCGAAAAAAAUAUCCUUAGCAAAAGUGUAGCUUAUAAAAAACCCAAAAAAAUGGUGUAUCAUUAAAGUCUAUCAAUCAAAUAAAAACAAAGUUGUAGCUCAUGAAAAAUACGUUCUUAUUCGUCUAAUUCCAAAUCGAAUAUUUCAAGGUGAAAUCACCGAAAAAUUAAGCACUUUUCGGGAAAAACCCAUUUAAACUUUCUUAAGGUGUUUAUAAAAAGCUUUGUUUUAAUUGUUAACAAAAGUUUUAGCAUUAAAAAUAAGCGAGUUACGCUCAAAAUAAAGUUGGCCCUCUUUUUUUUUGUAAAAAAUCAUGAAAAUCUCGCCGUGUUUAGCUCCCCAAAUGAAAUCAAUCGCUACCGCUUCACAAACAAUUUACUUACCUAUCUAUUUUUUAUAUGAUCUGUCAGUCUCACCGGUUAAAGUGUUUAUUUUUGAAAGGGUUAUAAUUGAAAAAGCUUGAAUGGGUCACUAAUCACAAGUGUAUGCAAAUUUUGAACAGUCAUAUCUUAACCAAUUUUGGCUUACGGAGAAACAAAAUGAAACUAGCAUAUGUAUAAUAGCAAAACCUACAUUUUUUUACUCUUUAAGAUUUUUCUUAUCACUAAUACUUUUCAAGUUAUUUUGAAAAAAUGAAAUUUUUCAAAAAUUUUUAGAAAUUAUUUUUUUACUAUAAAACCAAAUAUUUUCAAAAAUAAGCACUUCAAACCAAUCAAACUUACAGAUCAUAUAAACAAUACACAUACAGUUAAAAUAGAUGGUAAAGCCAAACGAUUAAUUUCAUUUAGGGUGCUAAAUAGUGGGAGGUUUUCACGAUUUUUUUUACAAAAAAAAAGGGGCCAACUUUUUUUUCAGUGUAACUCGUUUAUUUUUGAUGCUGUAAACUUUUGUAAAAAAACAAAUAAUAAGCUUUUUUUCGAUACUUUAAAAAUGUUAAUAAGGUUUUCCCGAAAAACGCUUCUUUCUUCGGUGAUUUCGCGUUGAAUUAUUCGAUUUGGAAUUAGACGAAUAAGAACGUAUUUUUCGUGAGCUACAACUUUGCUUCUACUCAAUUUGUAGACUUUACUGGUACACCGUUUUUUUCGUUUUUU